AUUGAACGCUGGCGGCAGGCCUAACAAAUGGAAGUCGACCGAGGGGAGGACGGGUGAGGAAAGCGUGGGAAACUGCCUGAUGGAGGGGGAUAACUACUGGAAACGGUAGCGAAUUCCGAAUACCAUAAGAUGUGCCCAGAUGGGAUUAGCUAGUAGGUGGGGUAAAGGCUAACCUAGGCGACGAUCCCUAGCUGGUCUGAGAGGAUGACCCGCUACACUUGACCUGAGACACGGUCCCGACUCCUACGGGAGGCAGCUGUGGGGCAUCUUGCACAAUGUGUGCAAGCCUGAUGCUGCCAUCCCGCGUGUGUGAAGAAGGCCUUCGGGUUGUAAAGUACUUUCAGCGUGGAGGCGUUACCCGCAGAAGAAGCCCCGGCUGACUCCGUGCCAGCAGCCGCGGUAAUUC
rnacentral:rRNA from 1 species